AACGUAGCGCAAUCACUUGUUCUUUAAAUGAAGACUAGUAUGAACGGCAUCACGAGGAUUAUACUGUCUCCCCCCUUUAAUCAAUGAAACUGAUCCCCCCGUGAAGAAGCGGGAAUAAACAUAUAAAACGAGAAGACCCUAUGGAGCUUUAAACUCAACACCACUUAUCUUAAACACUCCAUAAUAAACAGAUAAGCUUGUGAACGUUUUAGGUUGGGGUGACCACGGAAAAAAAUUUAACCUCCAUGUUGAAAGGCCUUAUCCUUAUCCAAGAGCCACAUCUCCAAGAAUCAACAAAUUGACAUUUAUUGACCCAAAUAUUUUUUUUGACCAACGAACCAAGUUACCCUAGGGAUAACAGCGCAAUCCAUUUCAAGAGCUCAUAUCGACAAAUGGGUUUACGACCUCGAUGUUGGAUCAGGGUAUCCCAGUGGUGCAACCCCUACUA
rnacentral:rRNA from 1 species